rnacentral:rRNA from 1 species
UAAGUUGCAGGGUAUAGACCCGAAACCCGGUGAUCUAGCCAUGGGCAGGUUGAAGGUUGGGUAACACUAACUGGAGGACCGAACCGACUAAUGUUGAAAAAUUAGCGGAUGACUUGUGGCUGGGGGUGAAAGGCCAAUCAAACCGGGAGAUAGCUGGUUCUCCCCGAAAGCUAUUUAGGUAGCGCCUCGUGAAUUCAUCUUCGGGGGUAGAGCACUGUUUCGGCUAGGGGGUCAUCCCGACUUACCAACCCGAUGCAAACUGCGAAUACCGAAGAAUGUUAUCACGGGAGACACACGGCGGGUGCUAACGUCCGUCGUGAAGAGGGAAACAACCCAGACCGCCAGCUAAGGUCCCAAAGUCACAGUUAAGUGGGAAACGAUGUGGGAAGGCACAGACAGCCAGGAUGUUGGCUUAGAAGCAGCCAUCAUUUAAAGAAAGCGUAAUAGCUCACUGGUCGAGUCGGCCUGCGCGGAAGAUGUAACGGGGCUAAACUGUGCACCGAAGCUGCGGCAGCGACACUAUGUGUUGUUGGGUAGGGGAGCGUUCUGUAAGCCGUUGAAGGUGUGUCGUGAGGCAUGCUGGAGGUAUCAGAAGUGCGAAUGCUGACAUAAGUAACGAUAAUGCGGGUGAAAAACCCGCACGCCGGAAGACCAAGGGUUCCUGUCCAACGUUAAUCGGGGCAGGGUGAGUCGACCCCUAAGGCGAGGCCGAAAGGCGUAGUCGAUGGGAAACAGGUUAAUAUUCCUGUACUUGGUGUUACUGCGAAGGGGGGACGGAGAAGGCUAUGUUAGCCGGGCGACGGUUGUCCCGGUUUAAGCAUGUAGGCGGAGGUUCCAGGUAAAUCCGGUACCUUUUUAACGCUGAGGUGUGAUGACGAGGCACUACGGUGCUGAAGUAACAAAUGCCCUGCUUCCAGGAAAAGCCUCUAAGCAUCAGGUAACACGAAAUCGUACCCCAAACCGACACAGGUGGUCAGGUAGAGAAUACCAAGGCGCUUGAGAGAACUCGGGUGAAGGAACUAGGCAAAAUGGUGCCGUAACUUCGGGAGAAGGCACGCUGAUAUGUAGGUGAAGUGGUUUACCCAUGGAGCUGAAAUCAGUCGAAGAUACCAGCUGGCUGCAACUGUUUAUUAAAAACACAGCACUGUGCAAACACGAAAGUGGACGUAUACGGUGUGACGCCUGCCCGGUGCCGGAAGGUUAAUUGAUGGGGUUAUCCGUAAGGAGAAGCUCUUGAUCGAAGCCCCGGUAAACGGCGGCCGUAACUAUAACGGUCCUAAGGUAGCGAAAUUCCUUGUCGGGUAAGUUCCGACCUGCACGAAUGGCGUAAUGAUGGCCAGGCUGUCUCCACCCGAGACUCAGUGAAAUUGAACUCGCUGUGAAGAUGCAGUGUACCCGCGGCAAGACGGAAAGACCCCGUGAACCUUUACUAUAGCUUGACACUGAACACUGGUCCUUGAUGUGUAGGAUAGGUGGGAGGCUUUGAAGUGUGGACGCCAGUCUGCAUGGAGCCAACCUUGAAAUACCACCCUUUAAUGGCUGGUGUUCUAACGUGGACCCGUGAUCCGGGUUGCGGACAGUGUCUGGUGGGUAGUUUGACUGGGGCGGUCUCCUCCUAAAGAGUAACGGAGGAGCACGAAGGUUAGCUAAUCCUGGUCGGACAUCAGGAGGUUAGUGCAAAGGCAUAAGCUAGCUUGACUGCGAGAGUGACGGCUCGAGCAGGUGCGAAAGCAGGUCUUAGUGAUCCGGUGGUUCUGAAUGGAAGGGCCAUCGCUCAACGGAUAAAAGGUACUCCGGGGAUAACAGGCUGAUACCGCCCAAGAGUUCAUAUCGACGGCGGUGUUUGGCACCUCGAUGUCGGCUCAUCACAUCCUGGGGCUGAAGUAGGUCCCAAGGGUAUGGCUGUUCGCCAUUUAAAGUGGUACGCGAGCUGGGUUUAGAACGUCGUGAGACAGUUCGGUCCCUAUCUGCCGUGGGCGCUGGAGAAUUGAGGGGGGCUGCUCCUAGUACGAGAGGACCGGAGUGGACGCAUCACUGGUGUUCGGGUUGUCAUGCCAAUGGCAUUGCCCGGUAGCUAAAUGCGGAAGAGAUAAGUGCUGAAAGCAUCUAAGCACGAAACUUGCCCCGAGAUGAGUUCUCCCUGAGACUAUAAGUCUCCUGAAGGAACGUUGAAGACGACGACGUUGAUAGGUCGGGUGUGUAAGUGUAGCGAUACAUUGAGCUAACCGAUACUAAUGAACCGUGAGGCUUAACCUU